rnacentral:rRNA from 1 species
CUGGCGGCGUGCCUAAUACAUGCAAGUCGAGCGGACCGACGGGAGCUUGCUCCCUUAGGUCAGCGGCGGACGGGUGAGUAACACGUGGGUAACCUGCCUGUAAGACUGGGAUAACUCCGGGAAACCGGGGCUAAUACCGGAUGCUUGAUUGAACCGCAUGGUUCAAUCAUAAAAGGUGGCUUUUAGCUACCACUUACAGAUGGACCCGCGGCGCAUUAGCUAGUUGGUGAGGUAACGGCUCACCAAGGCGACGAUGCGUAGCCGACCUGAGAGGGUGAUCGGCCACACUGGGACUGAGACACGGCCCAGACUCCUACGGGAGGCAGCAGUAGGGAAUCUUCCGCAAUGGACGAAAGUCUGACGGAGCAACGCCGCGUGAGUGAUGAAGGUUUUCGGAUCGUAAAACUCUGUUGUUAGGGAAGAACAAGUACCGUUCGAAUAGGGCGGCACCUUGACGGUACCUAACCAGAAAGCCACGGCUAACUACGUGCCAGCAGCCGCGGUAAUACGUAGGUGGCAAGCGUUGUCCGGAAUUAUUGGGCGUAAAGCGCGCGCAGGCGGUUUCUUAAGUCUGAUGUGAAAGCCCCCGGCUCAACCGGGGAGGGUCAUUGGAAACUGGGGAACUUGAGUGCAGAAGAGGAGAGUGGAAUUCCACGUGUAGCGGUGAAAUGCGUAGAGAUGUGGAGGAACACCAGUGGCGAAGGCGACUCUCUGGUCUGUAACUGACGCUGAGGCGCGAAAGCGUGGGGAGCGAACAGGAUUAGAUACCCUGGUAGUCCACGCCGUAAACGAUGAGUGCUAAGUGUUAGAGGGUUUCCGCCCUUUAGUGCUGCAGCAAACGCAUUAAGCACUCCGCCUGGGGAGUACGGUCGCAAGACUGAAACUCAAAGGAAUUGACGGGGGCCCGCACAAGCGGUGGAGCAUGUGGUUUAAUUCGAAGCAACGCGAAGAACCUUACCAGGUCUUGACAUCCUCUGACAACCCUAGAGAUAGGGCUUCCCCUUCGGGGGCAGAGUGACAGGUGGUGCAUGGUUGUCGUCAGCUCGUGUCGUGAGAUGUUGGGUUAAGUCCCGCAACGAGCGCAACCCUUGAUCUUAGUUGCCAGCAUUCAGUUGGGCACUCUAAGGUGACUGCCGGUGACAAACCGGAGGAAGGUGGGGGAUGACGUCAAAUCAUCAUGCCCCUUAUGACCUGGGCUACACACGUGCUACAAUGGGCAGAACAAAGGGCAGCGAAGCCGCGAGGCUAAGCCAAUCCCACAAAUCUGUUCUCAGUUCGGAUCGCAGUCUGCAACUCGACUGCGUGAAGCUGGAAUCGCUAGUAAUCGCGGAUCACCAUGCCGCGGUGAAUACGUUCCCGGGCCUUGUACACACCGCCCGUCACACCACGAAGAGUUUGUAACACCCGAAGUCGGUGAGGUAACCUUUUGGAGCCAGCCGCCGAAAGUGGGA